rnacentral:tRNA from 1 species
GCAUCCAUAGUUCAACUGGAUAGAACGUCUGACUUCGGAUCAGAAGGUUGAGGGUUCAACUCCUUCUGGGUGCGCCA